rnacentral:lncRNA from 1 species
ACCCCGGCUCCUUGGGAUAGAUGGGGAAGCUGAGGCCCAGAAGGGGGCUGAGACCACCUCCCAGUUUCCCCAGUGAGGUGGCGCCUGAGCCACGGCCAGGCCCGGCCUCCUUCCACCCGGCCCUGCUGUGCGCGCGGCGGGUGCUGACCUGGCGAGGCCGGACAGGGGACCAGGUCGGGGUGACCGUCACUGACACCUGGACAGUCCUCGUUGUGUUCGGGGUGGGAAGCCCACGGGGAAGAGUGUAUCACAGCCAUUGGGAACUUUCUUCACCCAUCAAAGCCUCAGGGCUGAAGCAUCCUGAACAAGAACUCAGGAGAGUGAAAGAAACAGUUACCUGUCGGCUGCAGCUGGUACCAGCUCCCCACCCCGUACAGAGACCGAAGCGUCCUCUCUCUCCCCAUCACCCAGCACCAGACUCUGCCCCGCGACCUCAGCCUGCACCUGCUUCCUGGCUCCAUCCAGCCUUCCAGCCUCACUAGAUCAUCAUGGGCCACUGGCCAACACACAGGGCAGUGCCGAGCCCAGGCCGUGGUCACACAUGGCUGGGUUAGUAGCUGAAAACAUUGUUUUUCACUGGCCUCACAGUAAUGGCACCUGCCCCCAUUUUCUGUGAUUGAAUUUUUGGAUCCUGCUACCAGGUUAUGAUAGAUUUUAUGGUAUGUCUCAAGAUAUUGAGAUAAAGGUAAUAAAACAGCUAUAAAGUCCUGG